CACAGCUUUGGGAAGAGGGACCAGGCCAUUCGGAGGAACCCCAACGUUCCAGUGGUGGUUAGGGGCUGGCUGCACAAGCAGGACAGUUCUGGGAUGAGGCUGUGGAAACGGAGGUGGUUUGUACUUGCUGAUUACUGCUUGUUUUAUUAUAAAGACAGCCGAGAAGAAGUGGUCCUUGGGAGCAUCCCUCUGCCCAGCUACGUGAUCUCUCCUGUGGCCCCUGAGGAUCGCAUAAGUCGCAAGUACUCCUUUAAGGCCGUGCACACGGGGAUGCGAGCGCUCAUCUAUAACAGCACAACGGUGGGCUCUCAGGCUGAGCAGUCAGGCAUGAGGACCUACUACUUCAGUGCCGAUACCCAGGAGGACAUGAAUGCCUGGGUCAGGGCCAUGAACCAGGCUGCACAGGUGCUGUCUCGAUCAUCACUGAAGAGGGACGUGGAGAAGGUGGAGCGGCAGGCAGUCCCCCAGGCCAACCACACAGAGUCCUGUCGCGAGUGUGGCCGUGUGGGACCCAGACACACGAGGGAUUGUCCUCAUCGUGGCCGUGACUACUCCUUUGGUUUUGAGAAGCGGGAGCAGGAGGAAGAACGGUACCGUUCCCAGAGCGACCUGCUGGAGGGCAAGUGGGACAGGAGCAAGGCCAGGUCCCCCUACUCACCGGCUGAGGAGGAUGCCUUGUUUGUGGAUUUACCCAGUGGCCCAAGAGGCCAGCAGGCACAGCCCCAGCGGGCAGAGAAGAAUGGUGGGCUGCCUGCCUCAUACGGCCCAGGAGAAGAGAAUGGGACUGGCAGCUACCAGCGGGCCUUUCCUCUCAGGACCAACACUGAAAAGCACAGCCAGAGGAUGAGCAGCCUGGCCCAGGUGGAGCACUGGGCAAAGGCCCCAAAGGGAGAUGGCAGGAGCCUUCCCUCAGAUCAUACACUUCCUCACCAGGGUCCUAGCCAGUCCUUGUCCUUCCCAGAAAACUACCAGACUCUUCCCACAAGCACCCGACACCCCUCAGGGGGCUCCUCGCCCCCUCCCCGCAACCUGCCGAGUGACUACAAGUAUGCACAGGACCGCGCCAGCCACUUGAGGAUGUCUAGUGAGGAGCGCCGAGCACACCGGGAUGGCACCGUGUGGCAGCUGUAUGAGUGGCAGCAGCGGCAGCAGUUCCGGCAUGGCAGCCCCACGGCACCCAUCUGUGCUGGCUCCCCAGAGUUCACUGACCAGGGCCGGAGCAGGAGCAUGCUGGAGGUGCCCCGCUGUAUCUCAGUGCCUCCGUCUCCCUCGGACAUCCCUCCCCCAGGACCCCCGAGGGUCUUCCCACCCCGGCGGCCACACACACCAGCAGAGCGGGUCACUGUGAAGCCACCAGACCAGAGGAGGAGUGUGGACAACUCGCUGGGGGAUUCUCCCAGGAAGGGGUGGGGCAACGCCAUCAAGAACUCCUCUCACGUGGAUCGGCGCUCCAUGCCCUCCAUGGGCUACAUGACCCACACUGUCAGUGCUCCCAGUUUACAUGGGAAAUCGGCUGAUGAUACCUACCUCCAGUUGAAGAAAGACCUGGAGUACCUGGAUCUAAAGAUGACAGGCCGGGACCUUCUCAAGGAUCGAAGUCUGAAGCCUGUGAGGAUCGCUGAGAGUGACAUUGAUGUGAAACUGAGCAUCUUCUGUGAACAAGACAGGAUCCUCCAGGACUUGGAAGACAAGAUACGAGCCCUCAAGGAGAACAAAGACCAGCUAGAAUCCGUGCUGGAGGUGUUACACAGACAGAUGGAGCAGUACCGAGACCAACCCCAGCACCUGGAGAAGAUCGCCUACCAGCAGAGGCUGCUGCAGGAGGACCUUGUCCACAUCAGAGCUGAGCUCUCCAGAGAGGCCACUGAGAUGGAAAAUGCUUGGAAUGAAUACCUGAAGUUGGAGAGUGACGUGGAACAGCUGAAGCAGGCCCUACAAGAGCAACACAGAAGAGCCUUUUUUUUCCAGGAGAAGUCGCAGAUACAGAAGGAUCUGUGGAGGAUUGAAGAUGUCAUUGCAGGCCUGAGUGCAAAUAAAGAGAACUUUAGGAUCCUGGUGGAAUCGGUCAAAAAUCCAGAAAGAAAAACGGUGCCUUUGUUUUCUCACCCGCCUGUGCCUUCACUCUCAACUUCUGAGAGCAAGCCGCCCCCACAGCCCAGCCCUCCUACCAGCCCUGUGCGGACCCCUCUGGAGGUUCGACUCUUCCCCCAGCUGCAAACCUACGUGCCCUACCGACCGCACCCACCCCAACUGAGGAAAGUGACAUCCCCCCUUCAGUCACCAACUAAGAUGAAGCCCAAAGUUGAAGACGAGGCGCCUCCCAGGCCCCCACUCCCUGAACUCUACAGCCCGGAGGACCAGCCCCCAGCUGUGCCACCUCUGCCAAGGGAGGCCACCAUCAUCCGGCACACUUCUGUGCGGGGCCUCAAGCGGCAGUCGGACGAGAGGAAGCGAGACCGGGAACUGGGGCAGUGUGUUAACGGGGACUCGAGGGUGGAGCUCCGGUCAUAUGUUAGUGAGCCUGAGCUGGCAACCCUCAGUGGGGAUAUGGCCCAGCCCUCCCUGGGACUCCUGGGCUCUGAGAGCCGGUACCAGACGCUGCCAGGCAGAGGGCUUUCGGGGUCCACGUCGAGGCUCCAGCAGUCAUCCACCAUUGCUCCCUACGUCACGCUCCGGAGGGGUCUAAAUGCUGAAAGCAGCAAGGUGAUCUUCCCUAGACCCAAGAGUGCCUUGGAGCGCCUGUACUCAGGGGACCACCAGCGGGGCAGGAUGAGCGCAGAGGAGCAGCUCGAGCGCAUGAAGCGGCACCAGAAGGCCCUGGUCCGGGAACGCAAGAGGACGCUGAACCAAGGAGAGAGGACAGGCCUGCCCUCGUCCCGCUACCUCAGCCAGCCGCUCCCUGGAGAUCUCGGCUCAUGGAAGCGUGAGCAGGACUUUGACCUGCAGUUGCUGGAACGGGCCAUGCCAAGGGACAGAAAGGACAAGGAGAAUGGCUGGUUAAAAGUACAGGCCAUGCCUGUCACUGAGUUGGACAUGGAACCUCAAGACUAUGACUUGGACAUCAGCAGAGAGCUGUCCAAACCAGAGAAGGUCUCCAUCCCAGAGCGUUACGUGGAGCUGGACCCUGAAGAGCCACCCAGUCUCGAGGAGCUACAGGCUCGGUAUCGCAAAGCCGAGAAGAUCCGCAACAUCCUCGCCCGGUCAAGCAUGGGCAACCUGCAGCCAACAUCAGGCCAGGACCGGAACAGUGUGGCCGACCUGGACUCGCAGCUGCAAGAGCAGGAGCGCAUCAUCAACAUCUCCUACGCCCUGGCCUCGGAGGCCUCCCAGCGCAGCAAGCAGGUGGCAGCAGCUGGCCCUUCUCCCGCCUAAAGCCCCCCUGUCCUCCAGGACGGUGCCACCUUCCCCCCCCUUAAGCAACGGACUCCACUACACCUUUGUCUAACACCUUCCAACCCAGGCAGUGACUGACCCAUGACCCAAUGUGCAGAGGACAAGCCUGGAGCCAGGGGCCCAGUGGAACCAGCCUGCUGCGAGGAAAUUGACCUUUCUGCCACCAAGGACACCACUUCCAGCUCAGCAGAGGUCUGGCUGGAGGAAGGGGCAGCCCACCAACUGGUGGGUGCUCCCCAUAGGUCUAGGUCCUAACACCCACCCACUUGCUUUAGUUCAGAUGCCUUUUUACAUGUGACAAGGGCACUUUUGAUACACACCUAAAAGACUGACACUGUAUUUUAGAACCAGAAUAUAUUUUAUAAUCACCUCAAGGGCUGAGUGGCUGGAAAGGUGAGGAUGCAGAAUUUUGUAGCUGCACUUACAGAUUCAGGUACUGUCUGGGUGGUGGUGUGCGGGGGUGAAGGGCAAGCUGAGGCCAGGCCAAUUUCCAGUGAGCACAGGUGAAAGUUGGAUUUGAGAAUGUGCUUCCAGUGGAUUCCAGCAGUAGACUCAUUGGCAUGCUGUCCAGGAGAAGAGGGGCCCUUGGCAGCAGAGAUCAGCUGUCCCUGACCUGACCUGAUGACCGGCUCUUUGUGAAACUACACCAGGAUGGCACAUGGAGCCCCAGUCUAUGUCUUGUCCCUUGGGUUCAGUUUAGAGGAAACAGUGUUUUACAGAGUUUUGAGCUCCACAACCUGCCCACAAGGUUCCCUCAGCAAAGGGCUCUACUCAGAAAAAAAAAAAAAGCAGUUUGCUUUAAUUUAAUGAAAUAUACUUUGAGGUAUAGAAAAGGUGAGAAGCAACUUUUGUUGUAUUAUAGCAAUAAAUUUCACACUGCGUGGCAUCUACCUAAAAAUCCCAGACUGAAUGCCUUUUCUCCAACCAGCCUGUGCUGAAGAGCCCUAGGUCAGCGUCCCCAGGACUGGGGUCAGGUGGCGGGAGGGCAGGCAGUGUGCCCUCGGUGUCCCUGAUUGCUUCUGCCAGCAGGGCCAUGAUGGCAAGACUUUGACUUGACUUCCAGCCCCAAAUGAGAAGGGGGCUACCAAGCCAGGUGCAGUGUUUGUGGCCCUUUAUUUAAGUCAUAUUCUCAUGAUAUUCUGCAUAAAGAAAAUGAUAGUUAAAAAAAAAAGGAAAAAAACCUCCAUCGGGUGAAGUCACACUUUGGAAUUUGCCUUUGACUAUGCUCAUAAAAAAAAGGAAUCUUGAAUAUAUUUAGAAGUUGCCGUCUAUUUUUAACUAACUCCAUAUGCUGCCAGUAUCGACUUCAUGAUAUUUGCCAAAAUAAAAUUUUAUUUUUGCCUUUAUAAGAUUUUGUUGGAAAGAUGAAAUGAAUAUUUUGCAAGAAAAAGUUAAUUUAAAUAAAAGCGUAAGGGUUUGCAAAAAAAAAAAAAAAGUGUCGUACAGAUUAAAAUAUUAACCUGA